UUGCACAAUGGGCGCAAGCCUGAUGCAGCAACGCCGCGUGAGGGACGACGGCCUUCGGGUUGUAAACCUCUUUUGGCAGGGAAGAAGCGAAAGUGACGGUACCUGCAGAAAAAGCACCGGCUAACUACGUGCCAGCAGCCGCGGUGAUACGUAGGGUGCAAGCGUUGUCCGGAAUUACUGGGCGUAAAGAGUUGCGUAGGUGGCAUUGCAAGUUGAUAGUGAAAUGAUCCGGCUCAACCGGGUGCCCAUUAUCAAAACUGCGACGCUAGAGGACAAGAGAGGUUAUUGGAAUUCCUAGUGUAGGAGUGAAAUCCGUAGAUAUUAGGAGGAACACCGAUGGCGUAGGCAGAUAACUGGCUCGUUCCUGACACUAAGGCACGAAAGCGUGGGUAGCAAAC
rnacentral:rRNA from 1 species